rnacentral:rRNA from 1 species
AUGAGACCUGCUUAGGGCAACCCAAGGGGAUUGCUGCUCCAUCCCUACGGGGACAAUGUUUUUGUUGCUGAAUUUGGUACCCAAGCGGAUAGAACCAGGGUGAUCGAGGGCUCGCCUUGGAUGGUGGGCAAGCACGCGGUCCUGCUCAAGGUUUUUGACCUGAAUACCCAACCCCUUCAAGUCAGUUUUGAUCGUCUGGCUAUUUGGGCCUGUAUAAUGAACUUACCUCCAAGGUUGAUGAAAGAAAAACUUGGCCUGGAGUUUGCAAAGCCUAUUGGUAAUAUCAUCAAGGUUGAUGCUGGUUCGGAUGGGCGCUGCUGGGGAGGAUAUAUGCAUGUGCGGGUGGUGAUUUCUGUUGGUGAACCACUCGUGCGUUAUGUGACAGUAACUUCAGUCAAGCUUCAAUCGACGGACACUUAUUCGGUGAUGUACGAGAGACUGCCUCUUCACUGUUACUCGUGCGGCCUCCUGGGCCAUUCUUCUGUACUAUGCCCAUCUCCAGGUGUCUGGGAUGGGAAUGGUGACCUCCCAUAUGCAGCUAAUAGGAUAUGUGUUCAGGAUGAGAGGCACGACAGGGCGGGCGGUUUGAAGUCCUCUACGGCUUCGUCGUCUGCGGGUUCUGAUGGAAGAGCAGGCGGCCAGCGGCCUACUCCCUCUGGUCGGGCCAAAGCUGCUGCCACUAUGGUCUCGGAAGUGGCUGAAGGUGAGGUAUCUUCUCCUAUCAAACGAGCUGGGAGAGGCCGUGGCCGUACCCCCUCCUCCUGA